GCUCGUUUACAUUAUGAAACUUGACCUUCCUCAUUCAAAAAUCUUACCUGGCAUCUCCUUUUGAAAGGUUGGUGUUUACAGGAUGAAGAAUAACCUUGUUUGCAUCCACAUCCACCACACAUUUUGUAUGCAGAUCAAGCUCUCGCCGGUUCAUGGGGCGGACGCGCACCGCCACCUUCACUUUGGAAUCCCCCAUCGCGCCGCUCCGACCUCCCCGACUCCUUCGUUCCC
rnacentral:lncRNA from 1 species